rnacentral:rRNA from 1 species
UACGUAGGGGGCAAGCGUUGCCCGGAAUCAUUGGGCGUAAAGAGCGUGUAGGCGGCCCGGUAAGUCCGCUGUGAAAGUCCAGGGCUCAACCCUGGGAUGCCGGUGGAUACUGUCGGGCUCGAGUCCGGAAGAGGAGUGUGGAAUUCCUGGUGUAGCGGUGAAAUGCGCAGAUAUCAGGAGGAACACCGAUUGCGAAGGCAGCUCGCUGGGACGUAACUGACGCUGAGACGCGAAAGCGUGGGGAGCAAACAGG